GUGCCAGCCGCCGCGGUAAUACGGAGGGUGCAAGCGUUAUCCGGAUUUAUUGGGUUUAAAGGGUCCGUAGGCGGACUGAUAAGUCAGUGGUGAAAGUCUGCAGCUCAACUGUAGAAUUGCCAUUGAAACUGUUAGUCUUGAAUUGUUAUGAAGUAGCUAGAAUAUGUAGUGUAGCGGUGAAAUGCAUAGAUAUUACAUAGAAUACCGAUUGCGAAGGCAGGCUACUAAUAAUUGAUUGACACUGAUGGACGAAAGCGUGGGGAGCGAACAGGAUUAGAACCCCGGUAGUCC
rnacentral:rRNA from 1 species